GGAGAGGUGCCAGAGCGGCUUAAUGGAACGGUUUCGAAAACCGUGGCCCGAAAGGGUCUCGUGAGUUCAAAUCUCACCCUCUCCGCCU
rnacentral:tRNA from 1 species